rnacentral:rRNA from 1 species
GGGUCAUCCCGACUUACCAACCCGAUGCAAACUGCGAAUACCGGAGAAUGUUAUCACGGGAGACACACGGCGGGUGCUAACGUCCGUCGUGAAGAGGGAAACAACCCAGACCGCCAGCUAAGGUCCCAAAGUCAUGGUUAAGUGGGAAACGAUGUGGGAAGGCCCAGACAGCCAGGAUGUUGGCUUAGAAGCAGCCAUCAUUUAAAGAAAGCGUAAUAGCUCACUGGUCGAGUCGGCCUGCGCGGAAGAUGUAACGGGGCUAAACCAUGCACCGAAGCUGCGGCAGCGACACUGUGUGUUGUUGGGUAGGGGAGCGUUCUGUAAGCCUGUGAAGGUGUGCUGUGAGGUAUGCUGGAGGUAUCAGAAGUGCGAAUGCUGACAUAAGUAACGAUAAAGCGGGUGAAAAGCCCGCUCGCCGGAAGACCAAGGGUUCCUGUCCAACGUUAAUCGGGGCAGGGUGAGUCGACCCCUAAGGCGAGGCCGAAAGGCGUAGUCGAUGGGAAACAGGUUAAUAUUCCUGUACUUGGUGUUACUGCGAAGGGGGGACGGAGAAGGCUAUGUUGGCCGGGCGACGGUUGUCCCGGUUUAAGCGUGUAGGCUGGUUUUCCAGGCAAAUCCGGAAAAUCAAGGCUGAGGCGUGAUGACGAGGCACUACGGUGCUGAAGCGACAAAUGCCCUGCUUCCAGGAAAAGCCUCUAAGCAUCAGGUAACAUCAAAUCGUACCCCAAACCGACACAGGUGGUCAGGUAGAGAAUACCAAGGCGCUUGAGAGAACUCGGGUGAAGGAACUAGGCAAAAUGGUGCCGUAACUUCGGGAGAAGGCACGCUGAUAUGUAGGUGAAGCGACUUGCUCGUGGAGCUGAAAUCAGUCGAAGAUACCAGCUGGCUGCAACUGUUUAUUAAAAACACAGCACUGUGCAAACACGAAAGUGGACGUAUACGGUGUGACGCCUGCCCGGUGCCGGAAGGUUAAUUGAUGGGGUCAGCGCAAGCGAAGCUCUUGAUCGAAGCCCCGGUAAACGGCGGCCGUAACUAUAACGGUCCUAAGGUAGCGAAAUUCCUUGUCGGGUAAGUUCCGACCUGCACGAAUGGCGUAAUGAUGGCCAGGCUGUCUCCACCCGAGACUCAGUGAAAUUGAACUCGCUGUGAAGAUGCAGUGUACCCGCGGCAAGACGGAAAGACCCCGUGAACCUUUACUAUAGCUUGACACUGAACACUGGUCCUUGAUGUGUAGGAUAGGUGGGAGGCUUUGAAGUGUGGACGCCAGUCUGCAUGGAGCCGUCCUUGAAAUACCACCCUUUAAUGGCUGGUGUUCUAACGUGGGCCCGUAAUCCGGGUUGCGGACAGUGUCUGGUGGGUAGUUUGACUGGGGCGGUCUCCUCCUAAAGAGUAACGGAGGAGCACGAAGGUUGGCUAAUCCUGGUCGGACAUCAGGAGGUUAGUGCAAUGGCAUAAGCCAGCUUGACUGCGAGCGUGACGGCGCGAGCAGGUGCGAAAGCAGGUCAUAGUGAUCCGGUGGUUCUGAAUGGAAGGGCCAUCGCUCAACGGAUAAAAGGUACUCCGGGGAUAACAGGCUGAUACCGCCCAAGAGUUCAUAUCGACGGCGGUGUUUGGCACCUCGAUGUCGGCUCAUCACAUCCUGGGGCUGAAGUAGGUCCCAAGGGUAUGGCUGUUCGCCAUUUAAAGUGGUACGCGAGCUGGGUUUAGAACGUCGUGAGACAGUUCGGUCCCUAUCUGCCGUGGGCGCUGGAGAACUGAGGGGGGCUGCUCCUAGUACGAGAGGACCGGAGUGGACGCAUCACUGGUGUUCGGGUUGUCAUGCCAAUGGCACUGCCCGGUAGCUAAAUGCGGAAGAGAUAAGUGCUGAAAGCAUCUAAGCACGAAACUUGCCCCGAGAUGAGUUCU